rnacentral:rRNA from 1 species
UGCAGUCGAACGGAUCCUUCGGGAUUAGUGGCAGACGGGUGAGUAACGCGUGGGAAGCUACCUUGUGGUAGGGGACAACAGUUUGAAAAGACUGCUAAUACCCUAUGAGCCCUAUGGGGGAAAGAUUUAUCGCCAUGAGAUGUGCCCGCGUUAGAUUAGCUAGUUGGUAAGGUAAUGGCUUACCAAGGCGACGAUCUAUAGCUGGUCUGAGAGGAUGAUCAGCCACACUGGGACUGAGACACGGCCCAGACUCCUACGGGAGGCAGCAGUGGGGAAUAUUGGACAAUGGGGGCAACCCUGAUCCAGCCAUGCCGCGUGUGUGAUGACGGCCUUAGGGUUGUAAAGCACUUUCAGCAGUGAAGAUAAUGACAUUAACUGCAGAAGAAGCCCCGGCUAACUUCGUGCCAGCAGCCGCGGUAAUACGAAGGGGGCUAGCGUUGUUCGGAAUCACUGGGCGUAAAGAGUACGUAGGCGGACUGAUAAGUUAGGGGUGAAAUCCCAAGGCUCAACCUUGGAACUGCCUUUGAUACUGUCAGUCUUGAGAUCGAGAGAGGUGAGUGGAACUCCGAGUGUAGAGGUGAAAUUCGUAGAUAUUCGGAAGAACACCAGUGGCGAAGGCGGCUCACUGGCUCGAUACUGACGCUG